rnacentral:lncRNA from 1 species
GAGUCAUCGCCCAAAAUAUCUUUCUUGUUUUUCCCUACACCAUUAAAAGUUCUAAAGUCACGGUAUCGAUCUUCAUUUGUUGGUUUAUCAGAUUGAUUGACAAUGAGCCAGUCCUCUUCUUUCUGACAUUUAGUGAGGGAAGUUUCUAGGCCAGGCACAGUUGAAUCAGAUUAGCCACUUAAUUCUUCAUUUCUCCGAGAAAACAACAACUCCUCAUCUGUGCUAAUUUUUUUCUUGAUAGAUGAAGCUGCAUCCUUCCCUUCCUUAAAGUAUUCAACCCGAUUCCGGCCCUUGCUGUCCAAUUCUCUCCCAGCAACAACAAAGGAAUCAUCCUCAAAAUUCUUGUUCACAAUAUAUUCCUCCUGAAACUUAAUAGGCUGUUUUUCCGUAUCAGGGGUAGAAUCAUCAUCUCUCAAAAGGAGAUUCUGGAAAGCAUCCCAGUUGUUAUUGCCUUUUAUGCCAUUGGAAUCAGCAUCAUCUGAACCAAUUAGUUUGUCAGGAUGCUUUGCGCUAUGUUGUUUUUUAUGGUGACGGGAACUUGACUUGUGUCUUCUCUCCAGUGACACUACAGCUUCCUCUACCUGGUUUUUCAGGGAAUCUCCAUUGAUAAAUUCUUCCUCAUUGGACAAACUCCCCUCUGUGACACUACCUUUUUCACCAUCUCCAUUAGAGGUUAUAUAGUUUAUAUUGCGUAUAACUACUUUCCUCGAAGACUUCUUUCCGUGCUUCUUUUUGUGAAGAUUCUCUGUUGAAGAACUCUUUCUGCUUUCUGCCGCUGAAUCAGUAAUUCUUCCUUUCUCUUUCUAGUUUCUUCUUCCUGUUAACAAAAUUGGGCAGUAGAGGUGAACAACAGACUGGGAUGCUCAAAUUACUUGUGAAGUUUCAACUAAAAGCCAAACAAAAUACGAAGAAAAAGUUCCAUAUAUAUAUUCGGUGCUACGGAAAGUGUUGCUUUUUUUUUUCUGAGUCAUGCAAUGAAAGAACUUCUCAUGUGUACUUGGCAGAAAGAAAGUGUUGGUUUUAUUUGCCAUACAAUCAUAAUCUCCAAGACACAGGAAAAGAUGAAGUGGUGAACAUGAAACUUCUACUUCAUGGAAAUAUACAGGUAGCAGUUAAAAUCAAGAAAUAUCAAAGCAAUUGAAAACUCAUGACCCAGUUAGAAUUAUCAAAAUCACUUGCAGUUUGAUUUGAAAUGUGAGGCACAAGUGAACUCACUUAAGGUGAUAAAUUCCAAAAUCUACCAUCUUUAAACCAAAAUCUCAACAUCAAGAUUCAUGUGAGGACAGAUAAUGUUCAUUACAUAAUUAAGCGAUUUUGCUCCUAAUUUUCAUUUUCAGCCCACAACUUCCUUAGUUGAGUAUAAGAUAGAGUCUUCAGCAUAUUUGGCAAAUCGGCUUAACAAUUGAUAAAACAAACACUGCAAAUGGGAUGUGCAAAAUAAUUAUAGGUUAAAGUUUUAACAAUUCUUAUAACUUUGUGAGCUGUUUAGGCUAAGAAAACUUUUUUCUACCUUCUAUACCAAACUAACCAACAUUUGGUUGGUCCCAUAUCUAACAAAAAAAAUUAAGCAUUUCCAGAAGUGAAGUAAUGUUUAAAAUAUGCCUCUUUCUUUCACUUGAUCCUUCAAGAAAAUUGCUAAAUCAUAACAGUUAUUAAUUUACCUUAACAGUUUUGCUCUUCGUAACUGUAGUUCUGCUUCCAGGUGAUACUUUGCUUCUUGACAUGAUAUCGGAUUUGGUUUUCCCAAGGGAAGCAUUUUGAGCCUUAGACUUUGCAUCUUUACUUGAAACUUUCCCAGUUCGCACUCCAGGAGUUUUCGUACCAGCUCCCUUAGGAUUAGAUAGACUAUUUUUAUCAUUUCCAAUGUCAGAAAGCUUUUUAUUUUCUUUAUUUGAAGAAAUGUUAUUUUCAAGAUCCAUUUCCAUGGUCCACGGUGCUGCAGUCCGCUCUACAGCUGAAUCACGUUCGAGAACCAUGAAGAGAUCAUCUGGCUCGUGGGAAUUUAAGGUUCCAGUCUUAUUGUGUGAACCUUCUUGCUUGCUGUUUGUGAGUUCAGUAGCACCAACAAUGUCUGAAACCAUACUUAUGUCAGCUGCUGAUUGAGAAUGGAAUUGAUCUUCCGAUGAUCGUGAUUGAAUCAUGAAAGAGUCAUCGCCCAAAAUAUCUUUCUUGUUUUUCCCUACACCAUUAAAAGUUCUAAAGUUUCGGUAUCGAUCUUCAUUUGUUGGUUUAUCAGAUUGAUUGACAAUGAGCCAGUCCUCUUCUUUCUGACAUUUAGUGAGGGAAGUUUCUAGGCCAGGCACAGUUGAAUCAGAGUAGCCACUUAAUUCUUCAUUUCUCCGAGAAAACAACAACUCCUCAUCUGUGCUAAUUUUUUUCUUGAUAGAUGAAGCUGCAUCCUUCCCUUCCUUAAAGUAUUCAACCCGAUUCCGGCCCUUGCUGUCCAAUUCUCUCCCAGCAACAACAAAGGAAUCAUCCUCAAAAUUCUUGUUCACAAUAUAUUCCUCCUGAAACUUAAUAGGCUGUUUUUCCGUAUCAGGGGUAGAAUCAUCAUCUCUCAAAAGGAGAUUCUGGAAAGCAUCCCAGUUGUUAUUGCCUUUUAUGCCAUUGGAAUCAGCAUCAUCUGAACCAAUUAGUUUGUCAGGAUGCUUUGCGCUAUGUUGUUUUUUAUGGUGACGGGAACUUGACUUGUGUCUUCUCUCCAGUGACACUACAGCUUCCUCUACCUGGUUUUUCAGGGAAUCUCCAUUGAUAAAUUCUUCCUCAUUGGACAAACUCCCCUCUGUGACACUACCUUUUUCACCAUCUCCAUUAGAGGUUAUAUAGUUUAUAUUGCGUAUAACUACUUUCCUCGAAGACUUCUUUCCGUGCUUCUUUUUGUGAAGAUUCUCUGUUGAAGAACUCUUUCUGCUU